GAAUUUCCUUCAAUUCAAUUAUCAUAACCUAUUACAUUUAAAAAAAACCAUAAGUAAUGAAUUUCGUACAUGUAGGACAAUAAUAAAAAUGGUCAAAUAGUUAUCAACAAGUUUGACUAUUGUGAAUGGUAUUUACAUGGCAAUUGUCAAAAUCAAUUGUUUGACAGCAGCCACUUGAAAUAACGAAGCGCAAAAUAUUUAGUUUUUUGGCUUUGUUAUAUAGAUUAUGGAAUAAAGAAAACGCAUUGAAGAAUAAUAACUAAGGUAAAUAAACAUAUAAUCAGAUAACAAACGCGUAUUAAUAUUAUAUUGUUUGCAGGGAUCUAAAGUCAAUAGAGGUUAUUAGUAUGUUGCUGAAAUUUGAGAACCCAUGUGCUGCUGUAAUGGAUUCUACUAAUGUGCAAGUGGUUUCAUUUGACGACGAACAAAUAAUUGCUGUUGGCCGGGCUCUCAGAGCUGUAGCGGACGAAGUUUUCGAAGAACCCAAACAGGAACUCGUUUUAUAGGAAUCUGCGAUGUCUGCUAUUUUAUGCAACAAUCUCAGAAAUAUAAGGCUGCUGUUAAAUAAGGACGUCAUAGCGUCAAUAAACGUGGAUGGUUCACAUGGAAAGAUAAGCUUAAAAUCUUUCCCAAAUUUUUAUGCUUCAUUGACUGGAGCCAUUGCCAAAUUACCAUUUAAGGGAUUGUCGCCGGAGGACGCGCUGCGCAAAGCCAUUGCUUUCGAAAAAGCUAAAUGCUUUAAGAAAGCUUUUGUUCACGCGUUAUAUGAAAGCAAGAAAUCAACGCGAACUUUUUGAGUGGAGUACAAAACUGCGUAAACGAUUUUUUUUAAGAUACAUUUUUUUAAAUUUUGAUGAUAAUUUCUUUCAUGAGUUUUGCAAAAAUUUUGAUUUGUCAGAUUUAUGUUAGAGAAGCUGUAUUUAAAGUGUUUAAAGUCAAUUAAAUAAAAAUACAUAUUUUAAAACGAAGGCUUCGGAUAAAAUUUAUCUUGAUUGUUAAAGGGAUUUUAGAGGUUUUAUAACGACUGGUCUCAUUCUGCUACCAUUGCGACCUACAAAGCGACUAGUCCCUUUUUAUACCCAUUUGGGUAUAAAUGGGUACAAUUAGUCUCUUCAUAGGACAUGCUCGAACAAAAGGGAACAGUUCAGUCCAUACAAAGAGAUGUAAAGUGGGAUUAGUCGCAUGUUCCUUUGCGACUAAUCCCGGACACAUCCCGGACUAGUCGCAUUUUUUGCAGGGU